rnacentral:rRNA from 1 species
UACGAAGGGAGCUAGCGUUGUUCGGAAUCACUGGGCGUAAAGCGCACGUAGGUGGACAUUUAAGUCAGGGGUGAAAGCCCGAGGCUCAACCUCGGAACUGCCUCUGAUACUGGGUGUCUAGAGUUCGAGAGAGGUGAGUGGAAUUCCUAGUGUAGAGGUGAAAUUCGUAGAUAUUAGGAAGAACACCGGUGGCGAAGGCGGCUCACUGGCUCGAUACUGACACUGAGGUGCGAAAGCGUGGGGAGCAAACAGG